rnacentral:antisense_RNA from 1 species
GAAAAAGAAAAAAAAACUCUUUAGCUGUUUAUAUUUAGAGUUGAGACUAAUUCGGCGUUGCGCACCAACCUAACUUCGGUUCUACUUCACACACAAAACUCGUGUCGUCUCUUGUUAUAAAGGGUCUCUUUGUUUCAGUGUCUUUGGUCUCGUGUUUGUGUAGAGAUGGAGAACAAGACCGAUAAUGGAAACGAGGAUGGUCCAAUAAUACAUAGCCAAGUUGAGAAGAUAAAGAAAGAGUUUGAGAAGAUAAGACAACCGUCGCUGCAGCAACCGGAGAUGAGGAGGGUUCUUAGCGAGAUCAAAAGGCGUCAACGUUCACGUUCUCCUCUUGGUUUAGGGGAGAGAUCUAUUUCCGUUGGGAAUUGAUCCAUGUUUGACUUUAUAGUCGAGAGAGAUAGAUAAAAAAAAAGAGGUAGAGGUGGUUAUGUGGUUCCUAAUAGUUAACAGGUUUUGUUGUAUAUAUUAUGCUAUAUAAAUACUCUUUCGUUUGAAAAUGAAUACGUCUCCUCUCUUUGCAUAGUAUGAUGAUGUAUGAAUCUCGAUUUACAUGAUAUGUAUGUGAGAGAUAUAGUAACUACAACUGAAUGAAAAAUCCAUGAGACAAAAAAGUUCGCAAUAGAAGAAUAUUGAUUCGGUAAAAAA